CAGGAGCAGCGGCACAUAAAAAAGCACUAGCAACGGGGAGAGCAUGGGGAGCAGCGGCACAUAAAAAAGCACUAGCAACGGGGAGAGCAUGGGGAGCAGCGGCGGCGGAAUAUUCUUGAUGUGGAGAUGCACCGCCUUGUGGUGUUCAUCAUCUGAUAUCUGAUGAACACAGAAGAGUUGGCUUCCAGAAUUAUGAAAGAGCAGGUCGCUGCAGAUGUUGUGUGAGGACAUGUUGAAGCCAGCCUCUGGCCCAUGGCAGUGCGGCGCUAGAUCCUUAGGUCUUGCUGCCGUUCAUAUGCUUAUGCGUGGACGCAAAGCGCGUACCCGUCGGUGGGGUGUGCUGCCCACUUCCUCGCCUCCAGCGUCCGCCAGCACCACCGCGCUCUUGGAAAUGUGGGCGCGCAUUCUCCAUCGCUGCAUUGGAGCCGUGGUCUUGGGGAUGUACAUGGUGUCUUGCUCAUGUAUGCAGCAGGAGCGGCAAGCCUAUGGGUCUUGUGUGUCGAAGACAGGGUGAUGAAUGGCAAUUUACUCUAUCUCGGAAGGCGCCUCCAGUUCCUCAAUGGCGUCCCCUGCUAUCCAGGGCCAUGUGCACUUAGUCAGUGAUCUGACGUGGCCACACGGCCCCCUGGUCGUUCCAAGUGC